GGAUGAACGCUGGCGGCGUGCCUAAUACAUGCAAGUCGAGCGAACAGACGAGGAGCUUGCUCCUUUGACGUUAGCGGCGGACGGGUGAGUAACACGUAGGUAACCUACCUAUAAGACUGGGAUAACUUCGGGAAACCGGAGCUAAUACCGGAUAAUAUUUCGAACCGCAUGGUUCGAUAGUGAAAGAUGGCUUUGCUAUCACUUAUAGAUGGACCUGCGCCGUAUUAGCUAGUUGGUAAGGUAACGGCUUACCAAGGCAACGAUACGUAGCCGACCUGAGAGGGUGAUCGGCCACACUGGAACUGAGACACGGUCCAGACUCCUACGGGAGGCAGCAGUAGGGAAUCUUCCGCAAUGGGCGAAAGCCUGACGGAGCAACGCCGCGUGAGUGAUGAAGGUCUUCGGAUCGUAAAACUCUGUUAUUAGGGAAGAACAAACGUGUAAGUAACUGUGCACGUCUUGACGGUACCUAAUCAGAAAGCCACGGCUAACUAC
rnacentral:rRNA from 1 species